rnacentral:rRNA from 1 species
UAAGGAAUAUUGGUCAAUGGAGGCAACUCUGAACCAGCCAUGCCGCGUGCAGGAUGAAGGCCCUAUGGGUCGUAAACUGCUUUUAUACCAGAGAAAACCCUUCCACGUGUGGAAGGCUGAUAGUAUGGUAAGAAUAAGCAUCGGCUAACUUCGUGCCAGCAGCCGCGGUAAGACGAAGGAUGCAAGCGUUAUCCGGAUUCAUUGGGUUUAAAGGGUGCGUAGGCGGACCAGUAAGUCAGUGGUGAAAUCU